CCUACGGGCGGCAGCAGUGGGGAAUAUUGCACAAUGGGGGAAACCCUGAUGCAGCGACGCCGCGUGAGUGAAGAAGUACUUCGGUAUGUAAAGCUCUAUCAGCAGGGAAGAAAUAGCGACCUUUGGGUCGCCAGACAGUACCUGACUACGAAGCCCCAGCUAACUACGUGCCAGCAGCCGCGGUAAUACGGAGGGGGCAAGCGUUAUACGGAGUUACUGGGUGUAAAGGGAGCGUAGACGGCAGCACAAGUCUGAAGUGAAAUGCCGGGGCUUAACCCCGGAACUGCUAUGGAAACUGUGGAGCUAGAGUGCAGGAGAGGUAAGUGGAAUUCCUAGUGUAGAGGUGAAAUGCGUAGAUAUUAGGAGGAACACCAGUGGCGAAGGCGGCUUACUGGACUGUAACUGACGUUGAGGCUCGAAAGCGUGGGGAGCAAACAGGAUUAGAUACCCGAGUAGUC
rnacentral:rRNA from 1 species